CCUACGAGUGGCUGCAGUGAGGAAUAUUGGUCAAUGGACGGAAGUCUGAACCAGCCAUGCCGCGUGCAGGAAGACGGCUCUAUGAGUUGUAAACUGCUUUUGUACAAGGGUAAACCUGAAUACGUGUAUUCAGCUGAAAGUACUGUACGAAUAAGGAUCGGCUAACUCCGUGCCAGCAGCCGCGGUAAUACGGAGGAUCCAAGCGUUAUCCGGAUUUAUUGGGGUUAAAGGGUGCGUAGGCGGAUUGAUAAGUUAGAGGUGAAAUGUCCGAGCUUAACUCGGGAACUGCCUCUAAUACUGUUGAUCUAGAGAGUAGAUGCGGUAGGCGGAAUGUAUGGUGUAGCUGUGAAAUGCUUAGAGAUCAUACAGAACACCGAUUGCGAAGGCAGCUUACCAAUCUAUAUCUGACGUUGAGGCACGAAAGCGUGGGGAGCAAACAGGAUUAGAUACCCCAGUAGUC
rnacentral:rRNA from 1 species